UACGUAGGGUGCGAGCGUUGUCCGGAAUUAUUGGGCGUAAAGAGCUUGUAGGUGGUUUGUCGCGUCUGCUGUGAAAAUCCGAGGCUCAACCUCGGACUUGCAGUGGGUACGGGCAGACUAGAGUGGUGGUAGGGGAGACUGGAAUUCCGAGUGUAGCGGUGAAAUGCGUAGAUGUUCGGAGGAACACCAGUGGCGAAAGCGACUUUCUGGGACGUUCCUAGACGCUGAGGUUCGAAAGCUCGGGGAGCAAACAGG
rnacentral:rRNA from 1 species